rnacentral:sRNA from 1 species
UAAAUGGUGCGGGAUGGUAUACUAUACAAGCGUAUGGUUCAAAGAGAUACUUUGAAUUAAGAAGUACAAUAAAACUAUCUAAACUAGAUAAAAAGAAGAAAACAGCUUAUGUAGUACAUAAGUAUAAAUACUAUGGAGAGUGAGGUGCAAUAUGGGGGCAGCUGAUUUUUGGGGUUUCAUAUAUGUUGUUUCAAGAUUAGCCGUUGUUGCGGCAGUGGUUUACUUCUUAUAUUUAUUGAGAAAAAUUGCAAAUAA